CCUACGGGGGGCAGCAGUGGGGAAUAUUGGACAAUGGGGGGAACCCUGAUCCAGCCAUGCCGCGUGUGUGAAGAAGGCCCUCGGGUUGUAAAGCACUUUCAGUGAGGAAGAACGCCUGGUGGUUAAUACCCAUCAGGAAAGACAUCACUCACAGAAGAAGCACCGGCUAACUCCGUGCCAGCAGCCGCGGUAAUACGGAGGGUGCGAGCGUUAAUCGGAAUUACUGGGCGUAAAGCGCGCGUAGGUGGCUUGAUAAGCCGGUUGUGAAAGCCCCGGGCUCAACCUGGGAACGGCAUCCGGAACUGUCAAGCUAGAGUGCAGGAGAGGAAGGUAGAAUUCCCGGUGUAGCGGUGAAAUGCGUAGAGAUCGGGAGGAAUACCAGUGGCGAAGGCGGCCUUCUGGACUGACACUGACACUGAGGUGCGAAAGCGUGGGUAGCAAACAGGAUUAGAUACCCGAGUAGUCC
rnacentral:rRNA from 1 species